rnacentral:rRNA from 1 species
AGGAUGAACGCUGGCGGUCUGCUUAACACAUGCAAGUCGAACGGAGUAGCAAUACUUAGUGGCGGACGGGUGAGUAACGCGUGAGAAUCUACCUUCAGGACGGAGACAACAGUUGGAAACGACUGCUAACCCCCGAUGUACUGAAAAGGCAAAUAUUUAUAGCCUGAAGAAGAGCUCGCGUCCGAUUAGCUAGUUGGAGAGGUAAAAGCUCACCAAGGCGACGAUCGGUAGCUGGUCUGAGAGGACGAUCAGCCACACUGGGACUGAGACACGGCCCAGACUCCUACGGGAGGCAGCAGUGGGGAAUUUUCCGCAAUGGGCGAAAGCCUGACGGAGCAAGACCGCGUGGGGGAAGAAGGCUCUUGGGUUGUAAACCCCUUUUCUCUGGGAAGAACACAAUGACGGUACCAGAGGAAUCAGCAUCGGCUAACUCCGCGCCAGUAGCCGC